UACGUAGGUGGCGAGCGUUGUCCGGAUUUACUGGGCGUAAAGGGAGCGUAGGCGGACUUUUAAGUGAGAUGUGGAAUACUCGGGCUCAACUUGAGUGCUGCAUUUCAAACUGGAAGUCUAGAGUGCAGGAGAGGAGAAUGGAAUUCCUAGUGUAGCGGUGAAAUGCGUAGAGAUUAGGAAGAACACCAGUGGCGGAGGCGAUUCUCUGGACUGUAACUGACGCUGAGGCUCGAAAGCGUGGGGAGCAAACAGG
rnacentral:rRNA from 1 species